GACGAACGCUGGCGGCGUGCUUAACACAUGCAAGUCGAACGGAAAGGCCCUGCUUUUGUGGGGUGCUCGAGUGGCGAACGGGUGAGUAACACGUGAGUAACCUGCCCUUGACUUUGGGAUAACUUCAGGAAACUGGGGCUAAUACCGGAUAGGAGCUCCUGAUGCAUGGUGGGGGUUGGAAAGUUUCGGCGGUUGGGGAUGGACUCGCGGCUUAUCAGCUUGUUGGUGGGGUAGUGGCUUACCAAGGCUUUGACGGGUAGCCGGCCUGAGAGGGUGACCGGCCUCCUUGGGCCUGAGGUACGGCCCAGACUCCUACGGUAGGCAGCAGUGGGGAAUCUUGCACAAUGGGCGGAAGCCUGAUGCAGCAACGCCGCGUGCGGGAUGACGGCCUUCGGGUUGUAAACCGCUUUCGCCUGUGACGAAGCGUGAGUGACGGUAAUGGGUAAAGAAGCACCGGCUAACUACGUG
rnacentral:rRNA from 1 species